AGCGUACACGGUGGAUGCCCUGGCAGUCAGAGGCGAUGAAGGACGUGCUAAUCUGCGAUAAGCGUCGGUAAGGUGAUAUGAACCGUUAUAACCGGCGAUUUCCGAAUGGGGAAACCCAGUGUGUUUCGACACACUAUCAUUAACUGAAUCCAUAGGUUAAUGAGGCGAACCGGGGGAACUGAAACAUCUAAGUACCCCGAGGAAAAGAAAUCAACCGAGAUUCCCCCAGUAGCGGCGAGCGAACGGGGAGCAGCCCAGAGCCUGAAUCAGUAUGUGUGUUAGUGGAAGCGUCUGGAAAGGCGCGCGAUACAGGGUGACAGCCCCGUACACAAAAAUGCACAUAUUGUGAGCUCGAUGAGUAGGGCGGGACACGUGGUAUCCUGUCUGAAUAUGGGGGGACCAUCCUCCAAGGCUAAAUACUCCUGACUGACCGAUAGUGAACCAGUACCGUGAGGGAAAGGCGAAAAGAACCCCGGCGAGGGGAGUGAAAAAGAACCUGAAACCGUGUACGUACAAGCAGUGGGAGCACGCUUAGGCGUGUGACUGCGUACCUUUUGUAUAAUGGGUCAGCGACUUAUAUUCUGUAGCAAGGUUAACCGAAUAGGGGAGCCGAAGGGAAACCGAGUCUUAACUGGGCGUUAAGUUGCAGGGUAUAGACCCGAAACCCGGUGAUCUAGCCAUGGGCAGGUUGAAGGUUGGGUAACACUAACUGGAGGACCGAACCGACUAAUGUUGAAAAAUUAGCGGAUGACUUGUGGCUGGGGGUGAAAGGCCAAUCAAACCGGGAGAUAGCUGGUUCUCCCCGAAAGCUAUUUAGGUAGCGCCUCGUGAAUUCAUCUCCGGGGGUAGAGCACUGUUUCGGCAAGGGGGUCAUCCCGACUUACCAACCCGAUGCAAACUGCGAAUACCGGAGAAUGUUAUCACGGGAGACACACGGCGGGUGCUAACGUCCGUCGUGAAGAGGGAAACAACCCAGACCGCCAGCUAAGGUCCCAAAGUCAUGGUUAAGUGGGAAACGAUGUGGGAAGGCCCAGACAGCCAGGAUGUUGGCUUAGAAGCAGCCAUCAUUUAAAGAAAGCGUAAUAGCUCACUGGUCGAGUCGGCCUGCGCGGAAGAUGUAACGGGGCUAAACCAUGCACCGAAGCUGCGGCAGCGACGCUUAUGCGUUGUUGGGUAGGGGAGCGUUCUGUAAGCCUGUGAAGGUGUGCUGUGAGGCAUGCUGGAGGUAUCAGAAGUGCGAAUGCUGACAUAAGUAACGAUAAAGCGGGUGAAAAGCCCGCUCGCCGGAAGACCAAGGGUUCCUGUCCAACGUUAAUCGGGGCAGGGUGAGUCGACCCCUAAGGCGAGGCCGAAAGGCGUAGUCGAUGGGAAACAGGUUAAUAUUCCUGUACUUGGUGUUACUGCGAAGGGGGGACGGAGAAGGCUAUGUUGGCCGGGCGACGGUUGUCCCGGUUUAAGCGUGUAGGCUGGUUUUCCAGGCAAAUCCGGAAAAUCAAGGCUGAGGCGUGAUGACGAGGCACUACGGUGCUGAAGCAACAAAUGCCCUGCUUCCAGGAAAAGCCUCUAAGCAUCAGGUAACAUCAAAUCGUACCCCAAACCGACACAGGUGGUCAGGUAGAGAAUACCAAGGCGCUUGAGAGAACUCGGGUGAAGGAACUAGGCAAAAUGGUGCCGUAACUUCGGGAGAAGGCACGCUGAUAUGUAGGUGAAGUCCCUCGCGGAUGGAGCUGAAAUCAGUCGAAGAUACCAGCUGGCUGCAACUGUUUAUUAAAAACACAGCACUGUGCAAACACGAAAGUGGACGUAUACGGUGUGACGCCUGCCCGGUGCCGGAAGGUUAAUUGAUGGGGUUAGCCGCAAGGCGAAGCUCUUGAUCGAAGCCCCGGUAAACGGCGGCCGUAACUAUAACGGUCCUAAGGUAGCGAAAUUCCUUGUCGGGUAAGUUCCGACCUGCACGAAUGGCGUAAUGAUGGCCAGGCUGUCUCCACCCGAGACUCAGUGAAAUUGAACUCGCUGUGAAGAUGCAGUGUACCCGCGGCAAGACGGAAAGACCCCGUGAACCUUUACUAUAGCUUGACACUGAACAUUGAGCCUUGAUGUGUAGGAUAGGUGGGAGGCUUAGAAGUGUGGACGCCAGUCUGCAUGGAGCCGACCUUGAAAUACCACCCUUUAAUGUUUGAUGUUCUAACGUUGACCCGUAAUCCGGGUUGCGGACAGUGUCUGGUGGGUAGUUUGACUGGGGCGGUCUCCUCCUAAAGAGUAACGGAGGAGCACGAAGGUUGGCUAAUCCUGGUCGGACAUCAGGAGGUUAGUGCAAUGGCAUAAGCCAGCUUGACUGCGAGCGUGACGGCGCGAGCAGGUGCGAAAGCAGGUCAUAGUGAUCCGGUGGUUCUGAAUGGAAGGGCCAUCGCUCAACGGAUAAAAGGUACUCCGGGGAUAACAGGCUGAUACCGCCCAAGAGUUCAUAUCGACGGCGGUGUUUGGCACCUCGAUGUCGGCUCAUCACAUCCUGGGGCUGAAGUAGGUCCCAAGGGUAUGGCUGUUCGCCAUUUAAAGUGGUACGCGAGCUGGGUUUAGAACGUCGUGAGACAGUUCGGUCCCUAUCUGCCGUGGGCGCUGGAGAACUGAGGGGGGCUGCUCCUAGUACGAGAGGACCGGAGUGGACGCAUCACUGGUGUUCGGGUUGUCAUGCCAAUGGCACUGCCCGGUAGCUAAAUGCGGAAGAGAUAAGUGCUGAAAGCAUCUAAGCACGAAACUUGCCCCGAGAUGAGUUCU
rnacentral:rRNA from 1 species